rnacentral:rRNA from 1 species
AUGAACGCUGGCGGCGGCCUAACACAUGCAAGUCGAACGGUAACAUUUCUAGCUUGCUAGAAGAUGACGAGUGGCGGACGGGUGAGUAAUGCUUGGGAACUUGCCUUUGCGAGGGGGAUAACAGUUGGAAACGACUGCUAAUACCGCAUAAUGUCUUCGGACCAAACGGGGCUUCGGCUCCGGCGCAAAGAGAGGCCCAAGUGAGAUUAGCUAGUUGGUGAGGUAAAGGCUCACCAAGGCGACGAUCUCUAGCUGUUCUGAGAGGAAGAUCAGCCACACUGGGACUGAGACACGGCCCAGACUCCUACGGGAGGCAGCAGUGGGGAAUAUUGCACAAUGGGGGAAACCCUGAUGCAGCCAUGCCGCGUGUGUGAAGAAGGCCUUCGGGUUGUAAAGCACUUUCAGUUGUGAGGAAAAGUUAGUAGUUAAUACCUGCUAGCCGUGACGUUAACAACAGAAGAAGCACCGGCUAACUCCGUGCCAGCAGCCGCGGUAAUACGGAGGGUGCGAGCGUUAAUCGGAAUUACUGGGCGUAAAGCGCACGCA